AAAUACAGGGAUGAUGAUGAUGAUGAUGAUGGAGAUGAUGAUGUCAUUCUUUUAAGUGCGCAGCCCUGCUAAAUCCACAUCCGGGUCUUGCGCUGCUGCUGAUGUGCAGAGAUUCGGUUCCGAGCACAGCGGACCAAAACAGCGGUCAAACCUGACGCUUUUCACUUUACACCUAUAUUCAGGACGCAAAAUAAAUGGGAAUAAUGCAUCCCUGGCUCAAACAGAAAAGGGAGGUCCGCUCUUUCACAGACUGAAUGCAAAGCAAAACAAUCUGCCAGCCUGUCUCUCUCUCUCUCUCUCUUUCUCUCUCUUCAGCGCCGCGCUCAGUUUAUAUCUCUUUCUUUCUGUUUGUCCUUUUUUCUUCUUCUGUUUUUUUCUUCUGCCACAGAACCCUCCAGGACGUAUUUUAAAGGAUUCUUAAGCCGCUGAGAUGGGUGCAUUUCUGGAUAAGCCAAAGAUGGAGAAGCACAACGCUCACGGGGUUGGGAACAACUUGCGCUACGGCCUGAGCAGCAUGCAGGGCUGGCGCGUGGAGAUGGAGGAUGCGCACACUGCUGUCAUCGGUCUGCCCAACGGCCUCGACCCCUGGUCUUUCUUUGCUGUUUACGACGGGCAUGCGGGGUCGCAGGUGGCACGUUACUGCUGCGAGCACCUCCUGGAGCACAUCACCAGCAACCCUGACUUCCAGGGUGGUGGUGGAGGCGGGGGUGAGAACGUGGAGCCCAGCGUGGACAGUGUAAAAUCCGGAAUCCGUACAGGUUUCCUGCAGAUCGAUGAUCACAUGCGGCAGAUUUCGGAGAAGAAGCAUGCUGGUGCCGACCGCAGCGGCUCGACAGCCGUCGGUGUGAUGAUCUCACCCCGCCACAUCUACUUUAUCAACUGCGGAGACUCGCGGGGGCUGCUGAGCCGUGGAGGGGCUGUGCACUUCUUCACACAGGACCACAAACCCAGCAACCCACUGGAGAAGGAGCGAAUCCAAAACGCUGGAGGAUCUGUGAUGAUUCAGCGUGUGAAUGGGUCCCUGGCAGUUUCCAGGGCUUUGGGGGACUUUGAUUAUAAGUGUGUGCACGGGAAGGGACCCACGGAGCAGCUGGUGUCGCCAGAGCCUGAGGUGUAUGCUAUCGAGCGGUCGGAGGCAGAGGACGAGUUUAUUGUUCUGGCUUGCGAUGGGAUCUGGGAUGUGAUGGCAAAUGAGGAGCUCUGCGAUUUUGUUCGUUCACGGCUUGAGGUUACCGAUGAUCUGGAAAGGGUCUGCAAUGAAAUUGUAGAUACCUGUUUGUACAAGGGAAGCCGUGACAACAUGAGUGUUGUGUUGGUGUGUUUCGUUGGUGCACCGAAGGUUUCCCCCGAAGCUGUCAAAAGGGAGGCGGAGCUUGAUAAGUACCUGGAAGGCAGAGUAGAAGAGAUCCUUAAGAGGCAGGGGGACGAGGGUGUGCCAGACCUGGUACAUGUGAUGCGUAUGUUAGCAUCUGAGAGCAUCCCCAACCUACCACCUGGAGGAGAGCUGGCCAGCAAGCGGAGUGUAAUUGAAGCAGUAUACAACAAGCUUAACCCAUACAGGAACGAGGAUACAAUCUGACCAGCCAAGUAAUUCAUUGAUGUUUCCUAAAAGUGGAGCUUUUUGCAAGAUCUCCAAAAAGCUUGUUGGCACUCAAACAACAUCAAGUCUGUCACUUUCAAUCAGAUAUCAGUUUGGCCAAUUCAACCCAAGAUGGACUCUGCAUCCACGGAUGACAUGUGGUAGCCCCGCACCUUUAAACACUGCACAGAGAAUCCUUCCACAGGACCCGGCACCAGAACUCUGCACAAGAGCCCUCAACCAGACAACUACAACAGAAACUGCACAAGAACCCUACCACAGCCCAGCUCAGCUGCUCUGAACUGUUAAGAGGAAGAGAAAGAGGAUGGAGUUGAGGGCUCCCUCCCUUGUUCACAUAAUCUUCCCUCUCAGAGCAAGGCAAUGGUACCUUCUGGAAAUUUCUGCAUAUUAUUUUUUCCCGAAUGGCUCUCCUCCUUCCCAAAACCUUUUAUCCGUAACAUCACCCACUUAAAACAAAUCCAACACUUAUUUUCCAUUUGAUUUUUUUUUGUUGUUGGUUUUUUUGGUGUAAUUAUUAAUUUGAUUCACAUUUCCUUGUGUGUAUAUUUCAGCUUUUAUUUCUGUGAAGUGCAAUUGUCUUGUACAAAGAAAAGCCUGUAUCAAAUACAGCUUGAGUUUUAAGUUUAUAAAAAAGAAAAAAAAUGCACACAUUUAUUACCUGCCUGUUUUUCUGUUUCCUCUCCAACCGCUGAAGCCCAGCAUAAUGUCUGCCUCUCAUAUGUCUCCCUAGUUUCCUUUUACUAUCUUUUUUUAAACAAAAAAAACGUUUUGUAUUGUUACUUUUUAAGUGAAACGGGUAAAUGAUAUGGGCUCACAGUACAGUAAGCUUUUUGUAAAUCCCACAGCACAGUUGACAGUAAUUAUGUUCUCUCAGUACUACUGAUUUUCUUCUUCUGGUGAGGUGGGUCUUUUUUUCCCCUCUUCCUCUGAGGAAACUGCUUUAACUUUUGCUUAAAGGAAUGUUCUGGGUUCGAUACAAGUCAAGCUUAAUCGACAACAUUUGCAGCAUAAAACCGUCCCUCGUUUAUUUAAAAAAAGCAAAAAUUGCCGUUACCAUAAGGCACUUACAAUGAAAGUGAAUGGAGCCGUUUCAUAAACAUUAAAAUACACACUUUUUUGUAAUAGUAUAGCCACAAGAUGUAAACAUUAUGCUUUUUAACAUGAAUUUAGAGUGAUAAAAUCGCUUAAUCUGUGUGAAGUUAUUACCAAUAUUACAACUUUAUUGACAUUGCAACCUAGUCCCGGUUAACCCUGUAAUCUGGUUCAUGCCGUUACCCAGUUAAAUCACUAAUUUUAUCACACUAAAAUCAUGUUAACACAAUGUUUACAUCUUGUAGCUAUGCUUCUGCAAUGGUGUGUAUGCUAGUGUUUAUGGUCUGGCCCUAUUCACAUCCCUUGUAAAUGCCUCACUGUAACCUCGAUUUAAAAAAAAAUAUAUAUAUUAUUUUUUUACAUACGAGGGACGAUUCGUAAUAACUUUUUGAAAUGAAUUAUCAUUAUUCCACAAAUGCAGAUUGAGCUUAAGUUGUAUUGAACCUGGAACAUUCCUUUGAACUAAGCUGAACUUGUGUGUAUGUGUGUGAGGGAGAUAUAAAUAGUGUGUGUGUGUAAGAGGGUGUAUGUUUGAACCACCAAACUAUUCCCAUAGGAAAGCUUGCUUUUUUGUGUGUCUGUUACCUUAUGGGGCUAAACAUGACCCUCUCCCCUCUCCCCUCUUCACUUUUUAAGAUCGUAAACACUAGGACAGUGUUCUGCACUACUGCAGCUCUUGAUUUUAUAGUUUAAGACAGCCUGGGAGCAUCUUGGAGGAGCUUGUGUACUUGCUGAACAAAAAGGACUUGCUAGAAUUGUUAAGAAGCUUGCACUCAGAACUGAGACAGGCCCUCUUAAAUGUUUUGUGUGUGUGUGGUUGUCCAUGUAUAUUGUGUGAAUGGUUUUGUGUGAGAUUGCAUGUUUUAUUGUGCUUAAAAUUAUGUGGGUUUUAAUGGGGAUAUUUAGGUUUUUGACAAACAUAUAAGGCUAAUGUAUAGCUAUAUUGCUCGCUCACCCAUCUGCACUGCUGAGAGAGACUGAGUGUGUUUUUAUAUGUUCUGAGCUAAUUUAACACUCAGAUGUCACCACUCUAAACUGUUCAAGCUCUCAGACAUUUCCCUACUUAAAACAUUUGCAUAUUCUUAUAUUGAUUAUAUUGUAUCAGAACAUUUUUUUUUUUUUUUUUUUUUUUUUUGGGUAUCUUGCAGUUUUCAAUUAGAUUUUUUCUUUUUUUUUUCUUCAAAGAACAAAUAUAGUGUGAUUCAGUGAGCUGGCCCGGUUUAGGGUUGUGCCUGCAUGUGUUCCGCUGACCAGUAGGGAGCGCAACAGAGUUCUGUUUGCUGCUAAAAUGUGUUUGAUUUAUUCAUUGAUUUGAAUGCUCUUCCUUUAUUUUCUCCUGCACCCUUUUCCCUGUUGCCCCAAUGCUGUAUGUAACACGUAGAUUGGAAGUAAUUUAAUUUUUGAGAGGGGUUAAUGAGAUUGUCACUUAUAAAUGUGCAUUUGUCCUAUGAUUGUCUAAAAUGUGACAUGGUAAAAAUCAUCCUCUUUGUCCUUACCUCCCCAAACUAAGUCAUAUUUUUGGAAUAGAUUAUAUGCAUAGGAAUUCCCUUGAGUCUAAUAAAUAUAAAUCAGCUUAUUUUCUAACCCCAUGUAUUUGCCUACUGAAAAGGGAAGGUAAAAUGUGUCUUUUUUUCAUAAACCUUAAAGGGUGAUUUAUGAAAAUUUAGAACUAACGAUGUAACAAAAUGACAAUCUAACAGUGUAUAGCUAAUGUACACCGAACGAAGUUCCCUGUAUCCUCUAUGCUUUUGGCUUGUGUUGUAACAUGGGCUUUAAGAUGCAUUGUGUUUGUGUGUGGAAUGGUGAGCUGUAUGUUUUCCCCAGUGGAAGUUGGAAUAUUUGUGUAAUAGGAAGAUGAAUCUAAAACGAAAAUGAAUCUUAAAAUUAACAGGAAGUUUUAGGAUGGUCUUAGAGGUCUGGAUAUGUUCAUGUUUUUAUAUUUUUUUUGCAUCUGCAAAGCUGUGUGGAAUCCUUUGUCACUUUAGGAAUGUAGACUUGAGGAACAACGACUUUUUUUUUUUUUUUACAAAGGACUUUCAACUCACUUGUAUGUGAAUAUUGACAUGACAAAACUGAGAGUUGUUCCUGCAAUGCAUAUAUUCUAUGUAUGCAGUUUUGAGAUCCUUGGAUUGCUGUUAAGCUUGAUAUGCUCAUCAUUUGUAAAACAUCCACUUAGAUCUGGAUGGUUUUUAGAUCAAAAAGUCAAGUGUUACAUUUUUUAGGUUAAAGAGGGCCAUGAGGACAGGACCAGCAAGAUGUUAUGGCACACAUUGAAACUUCCCCAGUUAUAGAUGGUAGAAUUGUUUAUGAAUGUGUUUAUUACUAUGUUAUAUCUUGUCACUCAAGUUGGCAAGGGCAUUUCACAAGGAAUUCAUAUCACGCAUGAACCGGUGCUUUUGUUGAAUGCGCAUAAACUUCUUGGUUCGCUGCAUUUUAUAAAAAUGCUAAAUACGUGUCACAAACUAUUUCAGCCAUCGGUUGUCCACUUAAGAUGCACGUAUUUGAGUUUUAUUCUCUGAAAUCCCACUUCCGUGGUCACUAGCUCUGUAGUGUUAGCUUGGAAGUUCAUUUGAGUUAAUUAUCUGGACUUGCCUUCUGAUGUAUAAACCAAGUGAAUAAUGCAGCCUUAACGCCUCCUGCAAAACCCCACCCCCAAACUCUUGAACAAGUCACAGUGUGUGUUCAUGGGGUACUGUAGGCUUUGCUCAUUUUGCAGCAACCCAUACACCCACCACAAUUUUGUGUAAAAGGGAAAUAAAUUUUACAGCACAGUGUGUAAUUAGUGGCCAGCCUCUUGGACAUAUUCUCAUAGACAAACACAAGGUAUUUUACGCUCUGUGGAAUCCCAUCUCAGACCCUAGCAGGAUUGUUUUUGCUGAUUUCAGUCAUUUGCUGUCCUCAUAAGCUAAGCUAUUUUUGUUAAAUAAUUGAUAUGUAUAUUUGUAUUCAUUUAUAAAUAUGUACACAAAAUGAAGUGAGUAAUCAAGGAUAAUCUCUCCUCCCUGUAACCCACUGUUACCCACCGGUCAUCCUCUAACUGUUCCACUGUUCAUUUUUGUUGUUUUAAUCUUUUCAGACUGGAAAUAAACCUAUUUUAUUUGAAUAAAAUAAAAUAAAAUUGUUGUAUUAUUCUUUCACUAUAUGUCACAGCUCUAAAGGGCUGUUGUUUCAUGUUGGUUUGAUGAAUUUUGUACACAAUCAAUACUAGGGCAUGGGUAAAAAAUAUAUUUUUUCUGCUAAACUGUUAGCUUCGUUUGAAUUAUGAUAUUGAUUCUUAAAUCCCAAGAUCUAAAGUCUACCUCAGUUUUGGUUGUGUUGAUUAUCUGUUAAAUAAAUAAUAACUGAAGAGCA